CUUGAAUAUUUUGUUGAAUUGUGGAGUGUGUUUAUCCUUUUACUAUUUAUCAAAAAAUGGAGGUACUCUUACUUUAAGAAGGUCAAUGGCAUUGCUGAUAAAAUUUAUGUGGCGGCCAAGAUAAGAUUGAAUAGAACAGUGAAUAGUUAGUUGUUUUUAGAAAAAAUAAAGUUUACGAUGAAUGUAAUUAUAAGAAGUUUCCAUACUAGAAUUGUGAGCUUUUAUUGUAAGUGUGCUUUUAGUAACCAUAUUCUUGUGAUAUUUUGCAAAUGAAACAAUAUUAUUAUUGUGCUUUUAGUGUAAUCUAUGACACAAAGAAUGCACUUAUUUUAUUUCAUUUUAUGAAAAUUAUUAUAUUCCUCUGUGCAA